CAAGUCGAGCGAACUGAUUAGAAGCUUGCUUCUAUGACGUUAGCGGCGGACGGGUGAGUAACACGUGGGCAACCUGCCUGUAAGACUGGGAUAACUCCGGGAAACCGGAGCUAAUACCGGAUAACAUUUUUUCUUGCAUAAGAGAAAAUUGAAAGAUGGUUUCGGCUAUCACUUACAGAUGGGCCCGCGGUGCAUUAGCUAGUUGGUGAGGUAACGGCUCACCAAGGCAACGAUGCAUAGCCGACCUGAGAGGGUGAUCGGCCACACUGGGACUGAGACACGGCCCAGACUCCUACGGGAGGCAGCAGUAGGGAAUCUUCCGCAAUGGACGAAAGUCUGACGGAGCAACGCCGCGUGAGUGAUGAAGGCUUUCGGGUCGUAAAACUCUGUUGUUAGGGAAGAACAAGUACAAGAGUAACUGCUUGUACCUUGACGGUACCUAACCAGAAAGCCACGGCUAACUACGUGCCAGCAGCCGCGGUAAUACGUAGGUGGCAAGCGUUAUCCGGAAUUAUUGGGCGUAAAGCGCGCGCAGGCGGUUUCUUAAGUCUGAUGUGAAAGCCCACGGCUCAACCGUGGAGGGUCAUUGGAAACUGGGGAACUUGAGUGCAGAAGAGAAAAGCGGAAUUCCACGUGUAGCGGUGAAAUGCGUAGAGAUGUGGAGGAACAC
rnacentral:rRNA from 1 species